CGGGGUAUAUAUCAGCGGUAGAUUGCUCGCUUCGCAUGAGAGGUGCCUCGGGUUCGAUCCCUAUGCCUCCA